rnacentral:rRNA from 1 species
UGGCGGACGGGUGAGUAAUGUCUGGGAAACUGCCCGAUGGAGGGGGAUAACUACUGGAAACGGUAGCUAAUACCGCAUAACGUCGCAAGACCAAAGAGGGGGGCCUUAGGGCCUCUUGCCAUCGGAUGUGCCCAGAUGGGAUUAGCUAGUAGGUGGGGUAACGGCUCACCUAGGCGACGAUCCCUAGCUGGUCUGAGAGGAUGACCAGCCACACUGGAACUGAGACACGGUCCAG